GCCUGGGUGGCUCAGUCGGUUAAGCAUCUGACUUCGGCUCAGGUCAUGAUCUCACACUCCGUGAGUUCGAGCCCCACGUCGGGCU
rnacentral:tRNA from 1 species